rnacentral:rRNA from 1 species
CAGUCGCCGCGGGAAUACGUAGGGUGCGAGCGUUAAUCGGAAUUACUGGGCGUAAAGCGUGCGCAGGCGGUUGUGUAAGACAGGUGUGAAGUCCCCGGGCUUAACCUGGGAACUGCGCUUGUGACUGCACAGCUAGAGUAUGGCAGAGGGGGGUGGAAUUCCACGUGUAGCAGUGAAAUGCGUAGAGAUGUGGAGGAACACCGAUGGCGAAGGCAGCCCCCUGGGCCAAUACUGACGCUCAUGCACGAAAGCGUGGGGAGCAAACAGGAUUAGAUACCCCUGUAGUCCCUGUCUCUUAUAC